UUUACUGAGGUUUAAUGGAUUUUUUGUCAAUCUUUAUUUUGGUAGUUAACAAUUAUGCUUAGAAAAACAUGUCAAUUGAAUUUUACAAAGUGUGCAAUAUUUUUUGGUAUAUUAAAAACAAGAGUAGGUAGACAUGUGUCAAAUAAAACAAGCUAGAUAACAUGUUAGUAACAUUAUAUAAAAUGUUUGUUAGGCAAGGGUAGGAUAAGAAUUCACUGGCACAAGCACCUUAGGGUGUUACUGCUACGUCUAACGAGCAUAGGAGAGUAAUAAUAAUCAAAGAAAGCAAAUCAACACUUAAAAAAAAAAAAGAUUUAAAAAAAAAGCACCACAUAUAUAUAUUUCUAACUUGUAAGAUGGCAUCUACUAGUAUUUGACAUGUAUGGAGACUCAGACAAGACGGAUGCUUUGGAGGGCAAGAUCCCAUCAACCAACACCCGACAUUGGGAAGUGCUGAGGGUUCACAAGGCACUCUUUUUGGGUGAUGCUUUGGUGUUCGGCCCCUUGUGGCCUUUGGCCUAGGAGGGCUAACACGUUCAGUGCCAGGUGUUUUUAAAGAUGUUGAACCAGAGGAGGCGCUCCUCUCUCCAUGCGUCUCACUCACCUGAUGAGCGAGUCUGGGACUCUAAUGUUGCCCAGAAGUGCUCGAAUAUCAUUUACAGUUUAGCAGAGAAUCUUCUAUGGAGUAUCAUUGGUGUAGAGGCAAGGUUUACCCAUGAGAAGAGAGUGCAUCCACCAUCUUGGCUAGUUCCACUCCAUGGAGAAGAUGAGCAGGAGCAGUCUCUGAAUACUGUUGAGGGUAAGUACACUGGCACAGUGUGGACCAGGAUAACCUGGGGGGGGAAAUGGGGUUGCAAGAGCAGGAGGACUCUGUGCUGAGGCAGUGCCUAAUAGAGCAGGAGAGCGGCUGCCUUUCCCACCCAACGGUCCCACUAUGACUCGCCUGGAACUUUGGCAGCAACAGACAGCCGGUACUUCACAGACCUUGUUCAGGGCCCACCACUGGAAUCAGAUGGCAGAUAAGUCCUAAAGGGUGCCAGAUGAGAGUGCUUGUAAUCAGUAGGAUUGCAAUAGACAAAGAUGAGCUGAGGAGCACCAUUGAGUUGCAUCUGGCUACCAUGAAGUUCAGGCCCCGCCCCCGCGAGGUUUAAUUUAUAAUAGAGCAUUUGCAGUAGUCAUGUAGAAUGUUGUGGAAAGUCGGUACGAAUGUGUGCAGGUGGGUUAAUGUCAUUAGAACGUUGUUCUUUAAAAGCCAGAGUAUGAAUCUUCUUUCCCCAGAGAAAUCAUUUUUGUGUCUGGAUUUAUUUUGUCAUUUCUGUUUAUGGUUCUAAGGCCAAGAUGUAUAACAAAAGUUGAAAGGGGACAACUCUGCCUGAUUCCAUUUGUAAUAAGGCAAGCGUUAGAUAGGAAUCCUGCAUUAAAGACUUUGGUGAUUGGAUUAGUGUAUAGUGCUUUAAAUGCUGAUUAGAAAAUUUGAAUUUGAGAAUAAUGGCUUGUAGAAAAGAUCAGUGAAGUUAAUCAAAAACCUUUUCGGCAUCAAGUCAUAAUAGCAAACAACUGUUU